rnacentral:rRNA from 1 species
GACGAACGCUGGCGGCGUGCUUAACACAUGCAAGUCGAACGGAAAGGCACUGCUUUUGUGGGGUGCUCGAGUGGCGAACGGGUGAGUAACACGUGAGUAACCUGCCCUUGACUUUGGGAUAACUUCAGGAAACUGGGGCUGAUACCGGAUAGGAGCUCCUGCUGCAUGGUGGGGGUUGGAAAGUUUCGGCGGUUGGGGAUGGACUCGCGGCUUAUCAGCUUGUUGGUGGGGUAGUGGCUUACCAAGGCUUUGACGGGUAGCCGGCCUGAGAGGGUGACCGGCCACAUUGGGACUGAGAUACGGCCCAGACUCCUACGGGAGGCAGCAGUGGGGAAUAUUGCACAAUGGGCGGAAGCCUGAUGCAGCAACGCCGCGUGCAGGAUGACGGCCUUCGGGUUGUAAACCGCUUUCGCCUGUGACGAAGCGUGAGUGACGGUAAUGGGUAAAGAAGCACCGGCUAACUACGUG